UCUCUCGCCCCGUCAGGGCGCCCGGCCGGGCGCCCUGACGGGGCGAGGGAGGCCGCGCCGGCGCCCGCCACCGCCUCAGGGCCGGGGCCGACGGCCCUCGCCCCUGAGGGGGAACUCGCCUGGCAGCGGGGGAGGGAAGGGCCGGGGCGCGGCCGGUCUGAGGGGCGUAGAUUAGGGCGGCAGUGGGGGCUUAGCAGCUGCUCUCCUCCUCACCCCCGGCGCUCGGAGAAGCUCCCUCCCAACCUCUUGGUAUUAUAUCCGUUAUUAAGGUACCUGUAAGCCCACAGGGCGUCUUCUCAGUAACAAGAGGUGUCCCCGGCCCUCGCCGGCCUCCGGUGUUGUACCGGAGUAACGGAGACAAGCUUUUGCUUGUCUUUCCCGUUUUUCAGGCCCUUGCCUUGGAGUGUCGCAGCGUUGCAACAUGCAGGGUUUGGUUUAGUACGUUUUAGCCGCGCAGAGCGUUUCUGUUCUUUUUAAUUAAUUGGCAGGCAUUGUGUUUGAGCCACUCAGUAUGGUUAUUUUUUAAAAAAAUAACGCGUUUAGGAGGCAGCCUACGUCUUGAGCAGAAGGUGUUUUAAAACCAGAUUUUAAGUCUUCUGCUGCAUGGUCUGAACGCUUCCCUUGUACGUAUGCUAUCCUAGGGGUUAAUCCAGGUUCUGCUUUUUCAAAACACUGUAUUCAGAAAGUAUUAGAUUUUGUAAUUAGCCUGCAAAGAUCCUAAAUAACCAAAACCACAAGGGAUUCACUCACUAUAUGCCUAGCUCAUUUAACACUAAGCUUGAUUACACCAGACUACAAAGACAGCGCAAAGAAGGAACACUGGUACCUGGCAAGAAAGGAGACUUCCUAUCUUUCCCACCAAUGCAGCCCGUGCCAGCCAUGCUGUACAUCUGUUGCAAAAGGAAUGAAGACAGACAGGUUCCUUUAAGCCAUGCCACAAGCUCCCAUAUGUUAUGGGUAUCCUCAUUUUCUGGAAGCUUGACAGUCUUAUAAACCAGCAAAUGAACUCUUUUCUCAGCAGGGUCAUGGUUCACUGUUGGCAAUCCCUCAGAGUGCGCUUGCUGUACCAGUUGUGUAAAUGAAGCAGUAUUACCAGGAGCAAGGCACCCUUGGCACUAAAUUCAAAAUGGCCCAAUGAAGCUGAUAUCCAGCUGUUACAGGAGAGAAUCUGGUUUCCUUCCCCAAAUUUGGAUACACCAGCCAUAUCCAGGAGACCUGGACAAGCAGCCGACAGAUGGAAUUCUCCUCCUAAUCUCACAGGCAGGGGCAGAAAACUGGCAAUAUUCAUUGUAGCAAGCUUUGUGCUGCCUCUUGGAAAUUCACCUCUUACUCCCUGAAGCCUGCAUGAUCUGGAUCAGCAACAUAAACUUGUACAGUUUUGACUCUGUGUUACCCUUGUAUAUUUUCUAUCAGUCUCCUUAGUCUGGCUGAUAGGUAGUUUCCCUCUUGGGCUUUACUGCCUGAACUUCAGAUUUCCAUGGACUAUAAAGACAGACUAGAGCAACCAGUUCAGAUUUAGACAUCUAACUUUUUAGAUAUCUAUGGUGGCAUCUAUAGUGUAGGUGUCUGUCUGUAGGUGUCUGGGCUCCCAAUAUAGACAGGAAGGGAUGCAGACACCUCCAGAGGGCAAUUCACUUGACUUACCUUAGAGGCCUGUCUGAUGAUGAGCUUAACCACUGUCCACUCAUGCCUGGUUAUCAGCAUAGACUGUAAAGGGAACUGGGAGUGACUAUGACUUUAAAUGCUUAACUUCCAGAUACAUAAGCUUUAGCAGAUGAGUCUUACUCAAAACCGUGUUUAAAGCACGGAUACACUACCUUGUCCUCAGAUGCUACUUUACUUCUACUUACUCUGCUUUUUCUACUGCAAUCCCUGGGUAGUAUUUUAAACCUGGUCAGCAGAGUACUUGCUCUCCAGCAGGAAAUAAACCCACAGGACACAGGCUUAGUGCAUGGGAUUUCAGCUGGUCUACCAAUCUGUGCAGAACAAGGGAUCCUGCAUCUUGUACUGGGCACGUGGCAGAAGUUCAAAAUAUCCACAGAAGUAUGAUUGCUGCAGCACUGCAAAUGUUGUGAGGGAAUAAGGCCCCGACUCGGAGAGCUUUGUGCCGGAGAAGUCUGGCAUUGACUAUCCUAUCAACAGCCUUGAUACUGAAACCAUUAUGAAAUGCCAGUGAUAAGAAUACACAACAACCAACGACUCACAGGCUUGUUAUGGUUUCCAUUGUGGAAUAUACAAAAUCAAUCCCAUACGAGCUUGGGACAGAUACAGGCAAAAGAGGAGCAGCUUCUCUGCUAAGAUUUGAUAGUGACUGGAGCGAUGACCAGGAUGGAGAUCAGUGAUGGAUGACAGACUGAAGAACACAACUGGAGAAGGAGGGCUUGUAGUAGGAGAUAUAUCAGAAAACUAAGGAAUCUGUUGAAAACGGUGAUGUUUCCAAAAGACACCAUGAGUACUGAAGGCUCAGAACUACCACAGGCACACCAUUUCUGAACUGUUGUCUGGCAUUUGAAAAAAUGAGCUGCACUGGCUGUCAGGCUUUUCCAGCUUCCCACCUGUUUUAGCAAAGACACAUUCUUCUUUGAACAAAUAGAUAUUGAGCUCACAAGAAGUAAUAGCCAAGAACAGCUACAGAACAAAAACUAAUAUUAAAAUCCACAAAAAUACUGAAUAUCAAUUCCUAGGACAAAUUUCUAGCAUCUGCUCUGUAAAUAAAAGAUACUGUAAAUAUAUUUCACUACUUUUAACAUUCCAGAGUUAUUUUUACUGAGUAUGAAAUUUGUAGUAAAGCAUGCUGCCUUUUCUACUAUGGAUUAAUAACAGGAUUGGGGGGGGGGCAGGGGCAGGCGCUGGGAAAACCGUUAGGAAAGGGUAUGAUACCCAACAGGCAAGCACAUCAUAUUGCCUGUCUCAAGCAAGAUGCACUCAAUCAAAAAUCAUGGCAGGAGAAAAAGGCAUACUUGGCAAUAAUAAAAGAAAGGAGCUUUAUUAAUUUUUUCUUUUUGCUUGCUUAGUUAAGUCUUUAAAUCAGGUCUGAAAUACAUAGUUAGCAGCUCUGGAAAAGAAGGCAAACCUCUGCAGCAGAAGCCACAAUGUGUGUGUGUGGCGAGUUGUGAAAGACAGACAUUUCUCCAUGUCAUCCUUGGAAAACAAAACAACAACAAAACCAGUGUAGGCGAAGGAUCAGGGAGGAGCGAUCUUCAGUGGUGCAUUUCCCAAAGGCCCCAGGACAGAGGAGAACUGGAGCCAAGAAAGCCAGAAGUGAGUGCUGCCCUCAGCACGGCACCUCGGGCAGGAGCUGGGCAGCAGAGCUCUGGCUGGCAACUGGCCGGCAUUGUCCACCUCUGCCGUCCUCUCGGAGAAAAGAGGUCCGUGGCGGGUGGUACACCUCUCCUGUAGCCAGAGAGACACCAGGAAGGGGGGUGCAGUCCUCAGACAUAAUCCGCACCUCUUUCUUUUCUUGUCUCCUUGCUAAGUAUGCUGGUCAUAGUUAGGAAAUGAGAUAAAUAUGCCAGUGAGCAACUGUUAAUACAAUUUGUUCUCUUACCAGCCUUUUUUCACAGGAGACAAAACCCAAAGGCUCUUUCUCUGCACAGUUUUACAGAAAACUGUAAAGCCAUGAACAGCAAGGCCUAAUCAUCUCUUUAAAGAGAAUGAGAAAGUUUGUCAUUAAAAGAAUAUGGGGAAAAUUACAGAACUAAGAGAUUUUCCUCAUGCAGAUGAUGCACUUGUAAGUAAGUCUUGUCUCCUGUCAGAGAUGACCCAAGACUCAUCCCUGUGUUUUGACUCUCCAGCGCAUGCCUUGCUUUGUCAAGACAGAAAACUCUUCCAGGCAUUUGGAACUUUCCAAGUGAGCGUUCUCUUCAAGUAACAAGCAUAAAACCACCAUCCUCCAUUGAGGGAAAGGGAAAGAGAAUGAGUGCUCAUGUGUUACAGACAUUGUCACUUCAUGCAGAUCUGAAAUCAAAAUUGAUCUUUCACACAAGCAAGUUAUUACAAUUUAUUUUGUCAAAUAUUUACUGUGAGUAAAUUGCUUUCUGCCUUCUUAGCUUCUUUUAAGAAAUGCUAUCUAAGCUCAUGGUAUUUACCUGUAGGGAAGGAAUAAAACCCAAACUUAAUACAAUAACUAAUCUUAAAACACAUUAACUCUUAUAAGGAAAUUCUUAAUAUAUUGAAAAGGUCCCUGUGUCAAUAACAACAUUUACAGGUUUUACCUUAGCUUUUCAAAUGCUAUCUUGAUUUGCUCUUUUUCUCUUCAGAAGAAGACACAGAUGCAAACUAUUCUUGGGUAAAGACUACCGAUGUCUUUAAUUGUAGUAUUAAAACCAGUCAUGUGAGCGUAAAUUGUUUCCAUUGAACGUUAAGUAGUAAUAAGUUAGUCUUUAAAUAUUUUGCAAGUACCACAUUGGAAGUAUCACAUACGAAAGUCUAUCUAUACCGAACUGCAGAACAACAAGUUAUACGUAGGAAAGUCAACACAUCUAUCUGCAUUAGCUGGCAAUUCAUUCUCAUUAGUAGCAUACACACUGUCAAAGCUGCAAACACUGGGUUCAGGCAGGCAGAACUGAUGACACAAGCUGUCCUCCGCAGGAGGUAAUGAGCAGCUUCACCAAGGCACAGCUGGGGGUCACCCACAUGCUGAAUCUACCAAAGCCUACGUUAAUAAAACACUGAUAUUUGGCUUUUAAAAAAAUGCCGAUUGGUCUCUUUUAUGCUAGAAUAUCAUCCUAGGAGAAGAAAAUCCACUUUAGGUUCCUUUCAUGACUCUUGGUUUUUGUUUCAGUCCAAAAUAUAGACAUCCUUACUGGUUGUAAUGAAAAAGCCGCUAUGACAAAAUUAAAGAUAGCCUGUACAGAGCUUUAUUCUUCUAUAAAGAAUGCAAAAUGAUACUGGGUAAUUCACCGCAAAAGGUAUCUAGGAAGGAGAAAUGAAAUUUGGAAAUAGUUAAUGGAUUGCUACGUUCAUUGCAACCUAAAACCAAUUUUUGACAUGCACAUUUUGCACUGUUUUUCUUGGCAGCCAACUGUUUUCAUUCUUACAAAAUUUAUUGUUAUUGUAUCAGGCUAAAUCUACAUGUGAUAUUCCAAGGCAAAGAUACCGUGUGUAUUUAAAGCUUUUCAGGAUCUUGUAGUUAGAAAAAAACCCAGUACUCUAAAACCUUCACUGCAUUUUUAUUCUUUUCACUUAUAAAAAUGGCAUUUUUGCAAGACCAUGUGAUUUGGUAGUAUCUGAUGUAAGCAUUGGUGCUAAUCCAGCCAAGCCUUUGGGUUGAAGGGCUCAUGAGAGCAAUUAAGGAAGAGUUUUAAAAACUCAAAAGUUGUUUUGCCCAAAAAGUGGGUUUAGAUGUGGCCAUCCUAUAUGGGCACAGACCCUAAACAUGGCCUCGGCAGACUGGUAUAGAAAAUACGCAGCUCUACCAUUCCAUAAGAUAAUAAAGAUUGCUUUAUGUCCAGUUAUUUCAGUGCAUGCUAGUUACACAGCUGUAGUUCAAUGAAACCAUCAGAUGCUACACUUGAUAAUUUGGGUUUAUGCAGUUCCUGUGGUUCUAAAAAUCUCAAAAUUGAAAAAUGUUAACAGCUUUUGAAAAAAUUGUAUUAAUUUUGACCACUCUGAGCUGUCAAAAAAAUCCCCAAAAUCAUUUUUACAUGACUGAGAGCAAACCCCCAACCUUCUGCCACAUGCCGUAUAGAACGCUAAAGAAUUCCAGUGACUUAUAUUUGUUAUUGAAAUAAAUUGAUCUGUGACUUUCUGACUCAUAGCCUGAUACAGGAGGUGUAUUAAAUUAUUCGGAAAGCA